CUGACAGAAAAAAGUUGUUCAUUGUUGAGUUCAGUUCUCAUCUCAAACUCAUCAAGUCUGACAGAACUGAACCUGAGUUACAAUAAACUGCAGGAUUCAGGAGUGAAGCUUCUCUCUGAUGGACUGAAGAAUACAAACUGUAAACUGAAGAUAUUAAAUCUGGAGUCCUGCAGUAUUGGAGAUGAAGGUUUUGUUGCUUUGGCUUCAGCUCUGAGAUCAAACCCAUCACACCUGACUGAACUCAAUCUGAAGUUUAAUAAUCCAGGAGAUUCAGGAGUGAAGCUGAUCUCUGAUCUACUGAAGGAUCCACACUGUAAACUACACAAACUACAUAUUGAGUCUCGACUGUAUUAAUCAUCUACAAGAGCUACAGAUGACAAAUCAAAGAACAGACUUAAUUAAUAAAUUGGAAGAUCUGCUUACUGCCUCCUACUGGACAAACGUCAGCAGUGAGACAUCAGAGCUCAACAUGAGAGACGUCUGUUAGAGUUAAACACACAAACAUGUGGAUGAAGAUCUGCAUUCGUAAUCCAGCAGAAGAGUUUAAUGAAGUUCAAUGAUGUUUGUGUUGUGGAUAUGAUUCUUACACAGCUGAUAUAUGACACUCAGUGUAUCUCUUUCUGUCGCAUCUGAUGCUGUUUAAAGUCUUCUGAGCUCUGC